GAAGUCUAACAUUCAGCUCAACGUCUCUUCUCUAUAGGCGCAUUGCGUUCCCAGCCAACCUUCAGCUAUGAAGAUCCUGUACCUUCUUUUUGCUCUCUUCUUCUUGGUGAUGCAAGUUAGUGGGCAAGGAUUUGGCUGUUCUCCUCGUUGUAGAAGACGAUGUUAUAGGAUGGGAGGCAGGUGCGCUCGUCGUUGUUCUCCCUUUAACACCGUGUUUCGCUGUGGCAUGUAUAAAUGCUGUCGUCGUGGCUGGGGUCCACGGGAGUGAUGACAACAAAGAUUCUCAAGGCAUCAUCUCUGGGAAGCUGGAAGAAAAUGCCUUGCAGUGAAAAUCUUGAAGAAAAUGCAGAAAAAGGCUCUCUAUUCUGUAGUAUGACUUUUGUCUUACUGAAAUAAAAGCAACUGGUUGUGGUGGUGUAUUGCAAA